AUGGGCCAAAACUGUAGAGUGUGGUUGCUCCUCCGACCGAGCCCCGGGCUUCGCGGCGAAGGGGCCUCACUCGCUAGGGCUCCCAUAGGUUACGUAGCGGCUGCGUCUCCUCCUCGGCUCGCUCGCUCUAUAAAGAGCACCGCGUCCGCGGCGCCAGUCCACUUCCACCACCACCACCGUCCGGCGAGAGGAGAGCAGAGGAGGAGCGAGCAACCGGCGGCGAGGCGAUGCAGAUCUUCGUGAAGUCGCUGACCGGGGGGACCAUGACGCUCGAGGUCGAGAGCUGCACGGCCGUCGACAGCGUCAAGGCCAAGAUCCACGACAAGGAAGGUAUCCAGCCGGACCAGCAGCGCCUCAUCUUCGCGGGGAAGCAGCUCGACGAUGGCCGCACCCUGGCCGACUACAGCAUCCACAAGGAGUCCACGCUUCACCUCGCGCUGCGCCUCGUCGGCGGUGGCAAGGGCGGGUACUACCCCACCAGGAUGGAGCCUAACCUGCGCAUGCUUGCGCUCAAGUACAGGCAGCACAGGCUUGUGUGCCGCAAGUGCUAUGCACGCCUGCCCCUCAGGUCUGCCAACUGCCGCAAGAAGAAGUGCGGCCACAGCAAUGACAUCAGGCCCAAGGAGAAGCUGCGCCCCCACUAAAGCGUUGGAAACAUAACUAAGUGACAUACGAUAGCUGGAUUAACUGGGAAUUCAAAGUUCGGUUCGAGUCUUAGUUUCAGUUAAAUGUUGCUUCUGGAAUCUAGAACCCUAUGCUCCUGUAUCAGUUUCUCUCGUAGUACUGUCCAAUUUGCUCUUGCAUGAAUGAUGAAAUCAGGUAUUUGAGGUCUACUAGCUUGAAUGGGUAUAUGAUGAAGUCAAGUAAUGCUCUUGCUUCCUAUAUUUC